rnacentral:lncRNA from 1 species
ACCGAAGCUCAAAGUGCAAGUAAGAGGUAGUCUGAAUUUGUUUGCAAUGUAUGGUGGAGGUGUAGGAGAACAAAAUCGGCAACAGAUGUUGGGUGCAUCUUAAAUGGAAGGCUGCAUAUCGACUCUAGGUUGUCACGUCAUAAACCUCCAUCCUAGGACAUCUCAAUUUGAAGGUUACUUAGUAGGCAGUCUUCGUUUCACAUUCUUAAUUCAUCCUGUUUUAAAGGAUGCAUAAGGUGUACCUUUCGUGUCUUUCGAUCCACAAUUCUUAGCUCAAAUUCUGAAUUCACAAAAUUCAACAAAAAAAAACAACAAAAAAACCCCUAGAAAAUUAUUUGAUACCUAGCUUAUUCAAUUUCAUUAUAUUAUGCCUAAAAAUUAAAUUAAAUUUAAAUAAGUAAAAUUUAGAUGAAGUAAAUAGAAUACACAUAAUGCUAAACUGCUAAAUGUAUAAACAACUAGGAGACCAUUGGUUGUCAUUAACAGAAGAUGCAGUUCAUGUAAAACAUUUCAAUAUAAAGUGUCUUCAAAUUAUAAUUUAAGUAUUCUUGUUCCCUGUCCGCGGAGAACGAAACAUUUACAAGGUAUAGCUACAUUCGCACUUACUAGAUAGAUCGUCUUAUUCUAGCGUUUAAUGCUGAGCAGGACUCUAGCAUUGAAGGUUUAGGAAGAGCAUGUGAUCGCUUGCAUCCAGCUUUCUGUUUGACAAGCACCCAUAUUAUUUUUCUCUCUGUUGGUGGCGGUAAUGCACCUGCAACCGCGAAGGAACAGAAAAGAAGAAGAAGAAGCGGUCUCCACGCGCAGCGCCUUUAUUCACUCACUUAGCAGUGAAUCUUCUGAGGGCCCCUGUUACUUUGUUCCACUAUUACCCCUUGUCCAACGCCCCUGACUUUGAUGUUUAUGUAAAGCACCUAAAGCUGGUCUGCCAACUGCCAAUAAACAGAAGAGAAUAAGAUGCAUCACCACUAGCGCCCUCACACUCACUUUCUCAGAGUUGAGUCUUCUGAGGUAAGUUGAGCUGUUCAGUUUGUUCAGAUUGUAUUUAUACAAUCCAAAAACUACUUUUUAUGUAACAUUAUUGAUAUCAUUCUGUAUUGUUCAUCCUUCGAGUAAACCACC